UACAGAGGGGGCAAGCGUUGUUCGGAAUUACUGGGCGUAAAGGGCGCGUAGGCGGCCCGCUAAGUCGAACGUGGAAUCCCCAGGCUCAACCUGGGAACUGCGUCCGAUACUGGCAGGCUUGAAUCCUGGAGAGGGAUGUGGAAUUCCAGGUGUAGCGGUGAAAUGCGUAGAUAUCUGGAGGAACACCGGUGGCGAAGGCGGCAUCCUGGACCGGUAUUGACGCUGAGGCGCGAAAGCGUGGGGAGCAAACAGG
rnacentral:rRNA from 1 species